rnacentral:tRNA from 1 species
AAGUGAGAAGUAAAAAUUACAUUUAGUUUCGACCUAAAAUUAGGGAAUAUUCCCCUUACUUU